AGAAUCAACGCUGGCGGCGUGCCUAACACAUGCAAGUCGAACGAGAAAGUGGAGCAAUCCAUGAGUAAAGUGGCGCACGGGUGAGUAACACGUGACUAACCUACCCUUGAGUGGGGGAUAACCUAGGGAAACCUGGGCUAAUACCGCAUAAUACCUUCGGGUCAAAGGAGCAAUUCGCUUUAGGAGGGGGUCGCGGCCGAUUAGUUAGUUGGCGGGGUAAUGGCCCACCAAGACUGUGAUCGGUAUCCGGCCUGAGAGGGCGCACGGACACACUGGAACUGAAACACGGUCCAGACUCCUACGGGAGGCAGCAGUGGGGAAUUUGCGCAAUGGGGGAAACCCUGACGCAGCAACGCCGCGUGGAGGAUGAAGCCCCUUGGGGCGUAAACUCCUUUCGAUCGGGAAGAUAAUGACGGUACCGAGAGAAGAAGCCCCGGCUAACUUCGCGCCAGCAGCCGC
rnacentral:rRNA from 1 species